AUGUUCUCCUGUCCCAGCAUUCUGCCCUGGGGACACCCUCCUGUCCCUGGGGACAUCCUCCUGUCCCCGGGAUGUUCUCCUGUCCCGGGACAUCCUCCUGUCCCCGGGACACCCUCCUGUCCCCGGGACACCCUCCUGUCCCUGGGGACAUCCUCCUGUCCCCGGGACGUUCUCCUGUCCCGGGACGUCCUCCUGUCCCGGGACAUCCUCCUGUCCUCGGGACGUUCUCCUGUCCCCGGGACAUCCUCCUGUCCUCGGGACGUUCUCCUGUCCCCGGGACAUUCUCCUGUCCCCGGGACACCCUCCUGUCCCAAGGAUCCUGGCCCCAGGGACACCCUCCUGUCCUGGCGUCCCAACUUGGGGAUGUCCUGCUGCCCUGGGGACAUCCUUUUGUCCCGGAAUCCAACGCUGGGGACAUUGUCUUGUCCCAGCAUCCCACCCUGGGGACAUUCUGCUGCCCUGAGGAACACCCACCCUUGUCCCCAAGUCCUCCCCGUGGCCGGAUCGGAUGGAGCUGAGCACCCACUUCCUUCAGGAGCAGCUCGGGGACAUCGUGCGACAGCCGGAACGGAGGACAGGACCCCACCUCUUGUCCCCAGCGUCCCCAAGCCGGGGCUGCCUCCCCGUAGCCAGUUUGGGGGUCACCGACCGGUGCUUUCUGCAGUGACCGUCACCUCGUCACGCGGCUCCUGCCUCGACAAGGCGGAAGGUCCUGGUGGCACCAGAGCCACCCCAGACGUGUCACACUGGGGACAUCCACAUCAUCAUCGCCGUCACCCUCCAGCCACGGGAACAAGGAGGAACCAGCCCAGGGACCAGAGGGGAGAGGGGGGAUGGAGCAGCACCAAGGCGGGGGUGCGUCCUUGUCCCCAAGAGAGGGGCCACCCCCCAUGGGACCCGAAGCUCUGUGGGGACAGGGGGCUGAGCCACCCCGGGGCUCCAGGGCAGAAUCACCGCCUGGAGCACGAGGCCCUGAGGUGGCAGCGAGGGGAACCGAGGGGACAAACGGGGAGAAAUGGGGGAGGAUGA
rnacentral:lncRNA from 1 species